AUUCCUCCGCAGCCUCGCCAUUCUCGCUGCUGCCAUUCUAGCUGGGCGAGGAUCCUUGGAUGUGACGCUCUCUGUUCGCUCACCUCUCCGUUCGCUCUCCGUUUCUCCUUUCUCCUUUUCUCCUCUUUGUUUCCCCUCUUUUGUUUCACCUCUUUCUCCUUUCUCCUUCCUUCGCCUCCAUUUGCACCUCCAUUUGCGCCUCAGAUUGCCGCAGUUCGCAUUUGCUCGAUUGGGUUAUUUGGUUCGAUUGCUCGCAUUUGCGCCUCAGUCCACUCCUUUUCUGUUUCUGGAUAAAACUUGGACAACUUGAAAGUUAAAGCUGCUGCAAACUUUGUCCAGCUUAUUUCAUAUAAUAUCAAGUCAUGCCAAUAGAUAAAUCGUGGACUUCUAAACCACGAAACACCAUUGAAUAUUUUUUUGGAUUUUGCUUUUGAACAUGGUAAUGGUCGUGUUAUUAAGUGUCCAUGUUCAAAAUGUGGUUUCAAUAAAUGGCAAACUAGGGAUGCGGUUCUAGAACACUUAACAUGCAGACCUUUUCUUGAAAACUACAAAACAUGGUAUAUGCAUGGUGAAGGACCAAGUGUAAGUGAUUCCAUGGCUGGUAGAAGUGCAAAUGUGGUUCAAGAUUUUUUAGAAUCUCAAAAUCCAAUGGAAGACAUGUUGAAUGAUGCAUUCGGGUUUGUGGGAAAUGAUGUUAAUGAUUUUGACAGGGCUACCGAAGAUGAUGGUGUGCAAGCUAAUAUGAUGCGUGAUGAAGGAAAUAUAGAUUUUGAUGCUUUGUUGAAGGAAAAUAACCAACCAUUAUACGAUGGUUGUACAAAGUAUUCAAAGUUAUCAAUCAUGUUGAAGUUAUAUCAUAUAAAGUGCAUGUGUAGAAUGAGUGACAAAGCAAUGACACUGAUUCUAGAGUUGCUAAAGGACGCAUUUGAACAUGCUAAGUUUCCUAGCUCAUUCUACGAGGCCAAGAAUUCAAUUAGCAAGCUUGGUCUUAACUAUGUCAAAAUACCAGCUUGCCCAAAAGACUGCAUGCUAUAUUGGGGUGAAGAGAAUGAAGACUUAGAAGAAUGUAAACGGUGUAAGAUGUCUAAAUGGAAAGAUAAAAAUAAGAAACAAUAUGCAAAGAUAUUGCGUUACUUUCCUUUAAAGCCGAGAUUGCAAAGAUUAUUUAUGUCUCCUAAGACAAGUGAUUCUAUGACAUGGCAUGCAUCAGUAAAAAACCAAGACGAAUUGAUGAGGCAUCCUAGAGAAAUAUUAAAAAAAA